AUUGAACGCUGGCGACAUGCUUUACACAUGCAAGUCGAACGGUAACAGGCCGCAAGGUGCUGACGAGUGGCGAACGGGUGAGUAAUGCAUCGGAACGUGCCCAGUCGUGGGGGAUAACUACUCGAAAGAGUAGCUAAUACCGCAUACGAUCUAUGGAUGAAAGCGGGGGACCGUAAGGCCUCGCGCGAUUGGAGCGGCCGAUGUCAGAUUAGGUAGUUGGUGGGGUAAAGGCUCACCAAGCCAACGAUCUGUAGCUGGUCUGAGAGGACGACCAGCCACACUGGGACUGAGACACGGCCCAGACUCCUACGGGAGGCAGCAGUGGGGAAUUUUGGACAAUGGGCGCAAGCCUGAUCCAGCAAUGCCGCGUGCAGGAAGAAGGCCUUCGGGUUGUAAACUGCCUUUGUACGGAACGAAACGGCUCUGGUUAAUACCCGGGGCUAAUGACGGUACCGUAAGAAUAAGCACCGGCUAACUACGUG
rnacentral:rRNA from 1 species